UAAUCACACCAUGUAACAAUCAGCCAGAAACACACAAAUCAGGUAGACUUCAAAGUCGUCAUGAAAUGGACAGACUUGAAUGGCUGUGAAUGCUAAGCUUUUCCCUGGUGAAAGAUGAAUCACCUGACAUAGACAAAGUGAUUUGAGAGUAAGAGCUAGCGGGACAGAAAGACAUAAGACAAUCUGGGGAGAGAAGAUAUGGGAACUUAAAGAGGCUUCAACCAGGCAUAGUUUCAGAGAAGUGUUAGUUAAUAUAUAGGACAAAAGAGAGGAUGAGAUAGAGACUUAUGGCAGAAAGGGCACCUGGGAUUUCUUAUAAGAAUACCUGCUGAAGGUUACAGAUGAAGUCUGUGUCUGGAGCAAGAGUUCAGCUCAAUGGAAGGGGCCUCCAAGACUGGUCGGUAGGAUGAAAGGAGGAAAUUAUCCUCUUACUGGAAAUCUGGUCAAAAUGCUUGCAUCAAAGCAAACGCUAUUAAAGGCAGCCAAGAAUCAGGCGGUGGUGUUAAACCAAAUGAGGGAUUAAGUCUGCCACUCAAGAACUCAGAAUGCUUUAAAGGGCCAGGAAUAUCACAAGAACUCAGAAUGCAAAGGGCCAGGAAUAUCACAAAACAUCUCAUCUGAAGCUUGAUCAAUUUCACCAAUCCACUAGUCUUGGACUAGUAACUUUAUUUAAUCAACUCUAAGAGGAUGAAAGGCAAGGUUGGCCUCAGUAGCACUUAAAUUUAAUACUAAAUUGGCAAAGUGUCAAUUCAUUUCACAUACAGGUAAACAGAGUUAACAAGUUCAACAAGGAACCCUUUACACUAGCAUCUGCUCUGUUAGAAAUUGGAGCCAAAUCUCCUGCAAAUUACAUAUUUAUCAUUUUAAAAAAGUAAAGAGAUUACAUAUUUUACAAGGUACACAGUGCCUAAAGUAAAAGGAAAAAUGGUUGUAAUGCCUGUUACUGGAGAUGAAUUGGAGUUAGGUAAUGAAUCACAUACCACAAAUCUGUACUCACUGCUUGACUAUUUAUGAUCAGUGUUACUGACUUCCUGAAAGAUUGACAUGAAAUGCUAGUGGUGACAUUCAUGCCUUUCCUACACAGAUAUUAGCAGCAUAGAUGACUAAAAUAUCUACAGCUGGGAAUUGUUACUGGGCUACAUAUGAAUUAACAUGCCAGGAACUUCCCCCACCCACCAUCACAUCUCCUUUGUUGUAGAUCUAUUUCUCAAUAUUAAGAUAUGCCCAUCAAUUAACUGACUUACCGUUACAUGGACAGCCACAUCCAGCCCAAAUAUUCUACCUGCUUUAUGUUCAACCCAGCCUGAUCCAGUCUCUCACACCUAAUCUACAAGGUCAUUCUAAAGGUAACAAUUGCAUCAUCAAAAUCUCAAAGCGACGAGAUAACGCAUGGUUAACUCAAAACAACAUGAAUAAAUAAGCAUGACAUUUGACAAAGUAAUCUGAAUGCUAAAGGGUUACAACACUCCUAGUUUCUGAAAGCCCCUCUCUUUGCCAUUUCUCCACAGACCAUUUUCAACAGAUCAUAUGACAUUUAACAAGGUUUCGUUUUCCUUGUUAGUAAAUAUCUGCCUUAUUUAUUAGUAAAUUGACAACUGUAAAAAAAUAAGCCGACAAAUUAAAUCUGUGCAUCACUGAAAGCAUACAUGCAAUCAUGACCUUGCUCCUCUUCUGCAGUUAAUGCAUUAUGAAUAAUUAAAAAAAAAAAAAAGCAAUGAAGAUACAUGGCAUUUAUUCAUGUAUAAGUCUCUUGGUAUCUACUAUACUAACUUGAAAAACAUAUGUCAAAUGAUAAUAUCUCAAGGACAACAGAAUUGAAUAAUAGUCAAUAAAAUAUCAAGUACAGUAUUAUCUUUAUUAAACAGUUUUUACCUAUGGGGAUAAUUUUGUCUUUUCCCACCAGCUUUGGGAUGAUAAUGGUUACAGUUGUAUAAGUGAAGCAGCCCCUACCAUUGCUUGCUCAACCUGCUAGAAAUUGCAAUGAAACCUCCUUCAAAUCAUACCUGACUGUCUUAAUAAAUGAAGGAAUACAAUAGAUGAUGUAGUACUACAUAUGCAAUGCUUGACAGAUGAACGGGAUAAUCAUGGCUGGAAUAACUUUGAUUAUUAUAGGUGUCAGUAGUCAGAAUGAGGUAACCUGGGGUUAAACAACAUAAUGUAACAUUAAUGGAUGUCUGUUCUACCAUAACGAGGAUUCUGUUUCACUCACAAGGUAUGGGUCAGACUGAAGCUAUAGAAAAUUGCAUUUGCCUAAGAUACCAUGCAGUCAGAUAAAAUUGAGGACCUCAUGGGUUCGAGGGCAAAUACAAGUAAAUUGACAAUGAAUUGAAUAAAGGAGCAACAUGAAAGUGACUGUAUUAUGAAACUGCUACACUUUAGGUUAUUUGAAACAAAUGUAAUGAUUGCUUUACAUCAAUACUCAAACAGGAAAAUGGGAAAAUACUAUGAUGUAGACAGAAAUAAAAUAUAACUCUAUGCAACA